rnacentral:rRNA from 1 species
UGCCAGCAGCCGCGGUAAUACGAAGGGCCCGAGCGUUAUUCGGAAUCACUGGGCUUAAAGCGUACGUAGGCGGACGCGCAGGCAUCUUGUGAAAUCCCUCGGCUCAACCGAGGAACUGCUUGGUGAACCGCGUGUCUUGAGACAGGUAGAGGUCGUCGGAACGAUAGGUGGAGCGGUGAAAUGCGUAGAUAUCUAUCGGAACGCCAAAGGAGAAAUCAGGCGACUGGGCCUGUUCUGACGCUGAGGUACGAAAGCGUGGGGAGCGAACGGGAUUAGAUA